UCUUUCACCCACUUCUUCCUCUCUUUAAGAAAACAGGAUUUUGAAGAAGGAUUUAGUAAACCCACUAAAUUAUUAGUUGGAGUGCAAUGGUGAGCUAAGAAAUCUUCUCUUGAUCUUACGAAAUUUGGAGCUCGGAUUCUCAAUGGUUUAUGUCACUCGUCAUUUCAAGGAAUUUUUCAUAGUUUUGUGAGAACUAUGUGGCUAUUUCGCAUACUGGUUGGUAGACUUCAGUACUGAUCGUUUUCAGCAGUUUGGAUUCUUUCUAUUGAUCCUGAAUUUAAUAUUAUACCUUGCGAGUUUAGAGUUUGGAGCUAGCUUGAGGCAUUAAGCCGGGAAAGAUUACGACAGUGGAGCUAUGGACACAAUAUCGGUAUAUGUUGUUGUCCUUGUAUAUAUAUAUCAUGGGCAGUUUUGGGGUAGUUUCAUAGGGGAAGUGAAUCAAGUUUUGUUUUCAUGCUUUUCUCUGUGUAUGUACCACGAUUUGAUUUUUAAAUGUAUACGGUGCUGCAUACAAAAAUCUAUUUUGUUUCCGAAGCUAACUGUAUUAGUAGAAAUUGUUUCUAGUAUAACUUUGUCUCCUUGGCCUUCCCAUUUUAUUUAAUAAUAAGAUUUUAACUGCUACAUGGCUAUUAUGAAUGUCAAACUUUCCCUGUUUUAUGGUGGUGUUAGUGCUUCUUUUAUAAAUAAAACUAUGUGAUUUAUUAAGCUAGCACUAGUGCACUUUCUUCUUUAAGUCUAAACUACAUAUUUCAUUUGAAUCUUUAAAAAUAAAAAAGAAUGUUUGUUAUCUAACUGAAUUUUAGAAUAGCUAAGCAUUUAAUGAAUUAUCCAGCAUGAUGGUAGUGUUUGAAGUAGUGUGUUUUUUGGAAUGGUGGACUGGAUGAGUUUCUUUUGAUUUCAAACAUGUUAAGACAUUCAUUAUUAUUUGAAAAAUGGAAAUGAACUUGUUUUGAUUUAUUUUUCGAGUGACGUACCGGAGUUUGGCCCUGGUAAAUUUUACUGGUCCGUGACUGUUGGCAUUAGAGCAGUUCCGAUUUCUUUUGGACUGUGAGUUUUGGACUUACUGUUUCCCGGUGCCCUGUAUUUAAUCGAUAUUCUUUUGGUUUUUGUGAUUUGAAGGUUAAAUUUAUUGUGAGACAAUUUGGUUUAUUGAUUUUUCCUAAAUUUUUGGGUUGGGGUUAAAAAUUCAAAUCCAUGAUAUAUAUAGCUUGUUGUGAGUCUUACACUCUUAGUUUAUUUUUUUGCGAGUCUUACACUCUUAGUUAUUGCUAAUAGAGUAAACUCUCGUUUGUGUUAUUGUCUUUCAUUAUUUUGAAGAUGUCUCGAAGUGCAGGUUCAUAAACUACGUCAGCUAAAAACGCGAAAGGUUAGUACUAGAAUAAAGUGCGUCGCAGCAAACUUGGAGUAAGGAAGGGUGCAUGAUUUAGUGGUGGAGCUGGAACCAUAACUGGGUCGUUUAAAUUUUGCCAAAUUUUUAGAACUAAGCUUUUUCAGGUAGGGGAUCUUUCCUUUUGGAAUAUGGGUUCCAAUGGUGUUAAUCGUAUUUCUAACGAUUGUUUGAUUUAUGUUUCUCUCUGAUAUUUUGUGUUUGCUACAAAUUUAAUAAUGGGUGAUUGCAAUUUCAUCUGUUUUUCAUGUAUAGUGAAAUUUUUAUUAAAUUUCUUACCAA